rnacentral:rRNA from 1 species
AUUGUAUUAGAUUUUAUUGAUGCUAAAAGAAUGGAAAUUUAAAAAAAAACUUUUUUAAAAAUAAAAAUUGAAUUUUUUUUAAUUUGUGCAAAAACAAUUAUAUUUAUUAAAGACAAGAAGACCCUAAGAAUUUAAGAUUUUACAAUUAAAAAGUUUUUUUUUAAAAUCUUGAUUGGGGCGAUCAAAAAAUAUUAACAACUUUUUAAAAUUUAAAUUGAUCUAUUAUUAAUAAACUAAUGAAUUAAAUACUCUAGGGAUAACAGCGUAAUAAUUUUUGAUAGAUCUUAUUGACAAAAUAGUUUGCGACCUCGAUGUUGGAUUAGGAUUCUUUUUUAAUGAAGAAGUUAAAAAAAGAAGUUUGUUCAACUUUUAAAUUCCUACUUGAUCUGAGUUCAGACCGGA